UACGUAGGGGGCAAGCGUUGUCCGGAUUCAUUGGGCGUAAAGAGCGUGUAGGCGGCCAGGUAGGUCGGUUGUGAAAACUGGAGGCUCAACCUUCAGAGGUCGACCGAAACCAUCUGGCUAGAGUCCGGGAGAGGAGAGUGGAAUUCCUGGUGUAGCGGUGAAAUGCGCAGAUAUCAGGAAGAACACCCGUGGCGAAAGCGGCUCUCUGGAACGGUACUGACGCUGACACGCGAAAGCGUGGGGAGCGAACAGG
rnacentral:rRNA from 1 species